GAUGAACGCUAGCGACAGGCUUAACACAUGCAAGUCGAGGGGCAGCAUAGAAGUAGCAAUACUUUGGUGGCGACCGGCGCACGGGUGAGUAACGCGUAUGCAACCUACCUAUCAGAGGGGAAUAACCCGGCGAAAGUCGGACUAAUACCGCAUAAAACAGGGGCACCGCAUGGUGAUAUUUGUUAAAGAAAUUCGCUGAUAGAUGGGCAUGCGUUCCAUUAGGUAGUUGGUGAGGUAACGGCUCACCAAGCCGACGAUGGAUAGGGGAACUGAGAGGUUGGUCCCCCACGAUGGUACUGAGACACGGACCAGACUCCUACGGGAGGCAGCAGUGAGGAAUAUUGGUCAAUGGGCGGGAGCCUGAACCAGCCAAGUCGCGUGAAGGAAGAAGGAUCUAUGGUUCGUAAACUUCUUUUGCAGGGGAAUAAAGUGCAGGACGUGUCCUGUUUUGUAUGUACCCUGAGAAUAAGGAUCGGCUAACUCCGUGCCAGCAGCCGCCGUAAUAC
rnacentral:rRNA from 1 species